rnacentral:rRNA from 1 species
UACAGAGGUGGCGAGCGUUGUCCGGAUUUACUGGGUGUAAAGGGUGCGUAGGCGGAUUUGUAAGUCGAGGGUUAAAGACCUUCGCUCAACGAAGGGAAUGCUCUCGAUACUGCAAGUCUAGAGUGCCGAAGGGGAGGCUGGAAUUUCCGGUGUAGCGGUGGAAUGUGUAGAGAUCGGAAAGAACACCAGUGGCGAAGGCAGGUCUCUGGUCGGUAACUGACGCUGAUGCACGAAAGCGUGGGGAGCAAACAGG